rnacentral:rRNA from 1 species
CCUUGGCAGUCUUAGCAACAGCUAGAGUUUGAUCCUGGCUCAGGAUGAACGCUGGCGGCGUGCCUAACACAUGCAAGUCGAGCGAUUUACUUCGGUAAAGAGCGGCGGACGGGUGAGUAACGCGUGGGUAACCUGCCCUGUACACACGGAUAACAUACCGAAAGGUAUGCUAAUACGAGAUAAUAUGCUUUUAUCGCAUGGUAGAAGUAUCAAAGCUUUUGCGGUACAGGAUGGACCCGCGUCUGAUUAGCUAGUUGGUAAGGUAACGGCUUACCAAGGCGACGAUCAGUAGCCGACCUGAGAGGGUGAUCGGCCACAUUGGAACUGAGACACGGUCCAAACUCCUACGGGAGGCAGCAGUGGGGAAUAUUGCACAAUGGGCGAAAGCCUGAUGCAGCAACGCCGCGUGAGCGAUGAAGGCCUUCGGGUCGUAAAGCUCUGUCCUCAAGGAAGAUAAUGACGGUACUUGAGGAGGAAGCCCCGGCUAACUACGUGCC